rnacentral:rRNA from 1 species
AUAAGAUUUUAAUUGAAUGCUAAGAGAAUGGAAGUCCAGAAAAAAACUUUUUUUAAAUUAAAAAUUGAAGUUUUUUUAAUUUGUGCAGAAACAAUUAUUUAUAUUAAAGACAAGAAGACCCUAUGAAUUUAUUAAAUUUUUAUUUGAUAUGUAAUUACUAUUAGAAAAAUUUUGGCUGGGGCGGCUAGAAAAUAUUAUGAACUUUUUAAAAAUAAAAUGAUCCAUUAUUAAUGAUUUUAUGUUAAAUACUCUAGGG